AUGGAGGUCACAACAGGUGCCAUGGGCAGCCUGCUCCCCAAGCUGGGCCAGCUGCUCAUGGAUGAGCACAACCUGCACAAGCGCGUCAAGAAAGACGUCUGCUUUCUCUCCAUGGAGCUUGAGAGCAUGCAUGCUGCCCUCAUCAAGGUUGGUGCCGUGCCGCGGGACCAGCUCGACACGCAAGUCAAGCUCUGGGCCGAUGAAGUCAGAGAGCUCUCCUACAACAUGGAGGAUGUCGUCGACAAAUUCCUCGUACGCGUCGAAGGUAUUCAGCAGCCUCAGGACAACACCGGCAGAUUCAAGGAGCUCAAGAACAAGAUGGUCAGCUUGUUCAAGAAAGGCAAGAAUCACCAUCGGAUAGCUGACGCCGUCAAGGAAAUCAAGGAGCAACUCCAGGAGGUGGCUGCUAGGCGUGGCAGGAACAAGCUCGAUGGUAUUGCUUUUAAUCCCACAGAAGCAAUUGCUAUAGAUCCUCGUCUUCGGGCUUUGUACACAGAAGCGACAGAGCUGGUGGGCAUUUAUGGGAAGAGGGAUCAAGACCUCUUGAGUUUGCUCUCCAUUGAGGGUGACGAUGCAUCUAACAAGAAACUGAAGAAGAUCUCCAUUGUUGGAUUUGGAGGGUUGGGAAAGACCACUCUUGCUAGAGCAGUAUACGAGAAGAUUAAAGGUGAUUUUGAUUGUCGGGCAUUUGUCCCCGUCGGUCAGAACCCUGAUGUCAGGAAGGUUUUUAGGGAUAUCCUUAUUGAUCUCGGAAUAUCCCACUCAGAUGUUGUCAUGUUGGAUGAAAGGCAGCUUAUCAACAAGCUUCAUGAAUUCCUCGAGAACAAGAGGUAUCUGGUCAUAAUUGAUGAUAUAUGGGAUGAAAAUUUGUGGGAAGGCAUCAACUUGGCUUUCUCUAACAGGAAUAAUCUAGGCAGUCGGCUAAUCACCACAACCCGCAUUGUCAGUGUCUCCAAUUCAUGUUGCUCGUCGGCUAAUGAUUCGAUUUAUGAAAUGAAACCUCUUUCUACUGAUGAUUCCAGAAAGCUCUUCCAUAAGAGAAUAUUUCCCGACAAGAGUGGAUGUCAAAAUGAAUUUGAACAAGUGUCUAAAGAUAUAUUGAAAAAAUGUGGUGGGGUACCACUAGCCAUCAUUACUAUUGCUAGUGCUUUGGCUAGUGGCCAGCACGUGAAGCCAAAGCGUGAGUGGGAUAUUCUGCUCCAGUCCAUUGGCUCUGGAUUAACAGAAGAUAACAGUUUAGAGGAGAUGCGGAGAAUACUCUCGUUCAGUUAUUAUAAUCUACCCCCCCAUCUGAAAACUUGUCUAUUGUACCUAUGUAUAUAUCCAGAAGAUAGAAAGAUUUAUAGAGAUAGACUGAUAUGGAAGUGGGUGGCCGAAGGAUUUGUCCACCAUGGAGAUCAAGGGACCAGCCUGUUUUUGGUCGGAUUAAACUACUUCAACCAGCUCAUUAAUAGAAGUAUGAUUCAGCCAAUAUAUGAUCAUCUAGGCCAGGUAUCUGCUUGCCGUGUACAUGAUAUGGUUUUGGACCUUAUCUGCAACUUGUCACGUGAAGCAAAGUUUGUUAAUGUAUUGGAUGGCACUGGGAAUAGCAUAUCUUCAGAAAGUAAUGUCCGCUGUUUGUCCCUUCAGAAUAAAAUGGAAGAUCAUCAAGCCAAGCCUCUCACAAAUAUCAUGAGUAUGUCACGAGUGAGGUCAAUUACUAUCUUUCCUCCUGCUGUUAGUAUCAUGCCAAGCCUGCCAAUGUUUGAAGUUCUGCGUGUACUUGAUUUGUCGGACUGUAAUCUGGGAAAAAGUAGCAGCCUGCAACUUAACCUCAAGGGUGUUGGACACUUAAUUCACCUGAGGUACCUAGGUCUAUCAGGUACCAACAUCAGUAAGCUCCCGGCUGAGAUAGGGAACCUGCAGUUUUUGGAGGUGUUGGAUCUUGGAAGCAAUUAUGGGCUAGAUGAAUUGCCUUCCACUCUUUUCAAAUUGAGAAGAUUAAUCUACCUAAAUGUUGUUCUCAAUAAGGUGGUUCCAACUCCUGGUGUGUUGCAGAAUCUGACAUCCAUUGAAGUGUUGAGGGGGAUCUUGGUCUCUCUGAACAUUAUUGCACAAGAGCAUGGCAACCUGGCAAGGCUGAGGGAGCUUCAGAUUAGCUUCAAGGAUGGUAAUUUGGAUUUGUAUGAAGGUUUUGUGUAUUCUCUGUGCAGCCUACAUCGCAUCGAAAGUCUAUGUAUUAAUUGCAAUUCGGAAGAAACAUCUUUUGAACUGAUGGAUCUCUUGGGAGAAUGCUGGGUGCCUCCUGUACAUCUCCGCGAAUUUGUGUCAAGAAUGCCCAGCCAACUCUCUGCACUGCGAGGGUGGAUAAAGAGAGACCCCUCGCAUCUCUCGAACCUCUCCGAGUUAAUCCUCAGGUCAGUGAAGGAAGUGCAGCAGGAAGACAUGGAAAUCAUUGGGGGGUUGUUGUCCCUUCGUCGUCUCUGGAUAACGAGCACCCACCAAACACAACGGCUACUAGUCAUCCGUGCAGAUGGGUUCCGCUGUAUGGUAGUCUUUGAGUUGAAUUGUGGAUCAGCAGCACAGAUAAAGUUUGAACCAGGAGCUUUGCCAUGGGCGGAAGCAGUUGAGUUCAGCCUGGGUGUGCGGGUGGCGAAAGAGGAUGGUAACUGUGGUUUCGACUUGGGCCUGCAGGGGAACCUGCUCUCCCUUCGGCGGUAUGUCCGUGUUCUUAUGUAUUGUGGUGGAGCGAGCGUUGGAGAGGCAAAGGAAGCGGAGGCUGCGGUGAGGCACGUCCUCGAAGCCCAUCCCAACCAUCCCCAGAUUAAUAUUUAUAUGAAGCCGCGUAUAGCAGAAGGUGAUCAUGAUGACGAUUUGUGUAAGGACGUGGUGAUGAACUGA
rnacentral:rRNA from 1 species